UUGAGGGCUUGUAUGAAUGGUUUAAUUAAUUAAAUUAGUUUGUUUAUUAAAAAAAAAAUUUAAGAUAAAGUAAGAAUUCUUUAAUAAAUUAUGGGACGAUAAGACCCUAAAAGCUUUAUAUUAAGUAUAAUAUUAAUGUUACAAAUAAACUUAAUUCACUGGGGCAGUGUAUUUGAUCAAAUUAAAUAUAUAAUAGGAGAUCCUUUAAAUAAAGAUUUUAUGGAAAAGUUACUUUAGGGAUAACAGUGUAAUAUAUUUAGGGAGACAGGAUCUAUAAGUAUGUUUGCAACCUCGAUGUUGAAUUAGAGUUUCUAUGCGGGUAAAAUCUAUAAAAGAAAGUUUGUUCAACUUUUAAAUUUCUACAUGAUCUGAGUUCAAACCGG
rnacentral:rRNA from 1 species